AGGUUAUCUUGAGAUCAAAAACCUCACUAUUGUUCCAAGAACACAAGUCUAUUAAGAAAAUCAAUUUUUACACUUAUAAAACAGUAGAUGUUAUCGAAGCAACAAAAGCGUGAAAGUAAAUAGUAUUGUAAAAGAAAGAAGAAAUAACACCCCCAAAUGCCUAAAAGUAAAUAUUAAAAGUUGUAUCUUGUGUAUUAUAGGAUUUCAAAAUUUUAUAUAUAAACAUGCAUCCCGAAAAAAAGAUAGCUAAUUUUAAGAAAAAGUUUUUGUGGCAACAAAAUUUUAAACUUAACAUUAGAGGUGAUAUGCCAGUCGAGCUUUCAUAUCUGGUUUUCUAAGAAAAAAAUUUAAUUUGCGUGCUCAACUAACCAGUUGUGCAACUAAGAAGACAGGGGCAAAGCUCUUUCUUCAAAAAUGCAAAACUACAGAAUCUACAAAUAAACAUUUUUAAAAAUAGGCUUAAUAGUAGCCACUUUUUCUAGGUUUUUCAACCAAUAUAACCUUUUAUUUUAAAUUUUAUUGAUUCUUCGUUUCAAGUAUUAGAAAAUAAAUUCUGACUUAAACCAUACAGCUACUCUGGAAUCAUUAGUAAAACUUAAUAUUUUCAAGAAAUUUUAUCAUAAAUAAAAAUUAUAAAACAAAAUAAAUUUACUUAAGGAACUCGGCAAAAACUAUUCCCGCCUGUUUAACAAAAACAUGUCUCUGUGAAGGUCUACACAGUCUGGCCUGCCCACUGAACUAUUAAAGGGCCGCGGUAUCUCUGACCGUGCGAAGGUAGCAUAAUCAUUAGUCUUUUAAUUGGAGGCUCGUAUGAAAGGUCGAACGAGUGAUAAACUGUCUUAAUAAAAAAAAUCGAAAUUAACUUUAAAGUGAAAAGGCUUUAAUAUACUAGAAAGACGAUAAGACCCUAUAAAUCUUUACACUAACACUUAGUAUUAGGCCAAUUUGUUUGUUUAAGGAAAAAUACUAAAAAAGUGUUUUGUUGGGGCAACAAAGAUACAAAUAAAAUAACUGUUUUUCUUUACAUACAAAAAUUUUUGAAAAUAAACUGAUCCUUUUUAAAGAUUAAAAGACUAAGUUACUUUAGGGAUAACAGCGUUAUUUUUCUUGAGAGUCCUCAUCGAAAGAAAAGUUUGCGACCUCGAUGUUGAAUUAAAAUUUCUUCACAGUGCAGCAGCUACGAAAGAAAGUCUGUUCGACUUUUAAAAUUUUACAUGAUUUGAGUUCAGACCGGCGCAAGCCAGGUCGGUUUCUAUCUUCUAUAAAACAACAAGCUACCCUAGUACGAAAGGAUUGGGUAGCUAAAAUAAUUUUACCAGCUAGAAUAACAUUUUACCUAAGCAAGCAUGCAUUUCAGUUAAAUGAAAAUAAUCA
rnacentral:rRNA from 1 species